rnacentral:lncRNA from 1 species
CCAGCACCUACAGAAGACUUGUAGGCAGAUUACUCUACCUUACCAUCACCAGACCAGAUCUCACUUAUCCGGUUCAGAUCCUCAGUCAGUUUGUUGACUUACCUAGACAACCACAUCUUAAUGCAGCCUUGCAUGUACUAAGAUAUCUUAAGGGGACUGCAGGACAAGGUUUGUUCUUUGAAAAGGAUUCAGAGGUGCAACUUAAAGGGUUCUGUGAUGCAGACUGGGCUGCAUGCUCAGAUACCCGAAGAUCCAUCACGGGGUAUUGUAUAUUUUUGGGAAAUUCAUUAAUUUCAUGGCGAUCAAAGAAGCAAAGCACUGUGUCCAGGUCCUCUACAGAAGUUGAAUACAGAGCUAUGGCUUCAGUAGUAUGCGAAUUAACAUGGCCGCAAUACAUACUUGCUGAUUUGGGGAUUAAACAUAAGGAUCCAGCAUUAUUAUUUUGUGAUAAUCAACCAACCAUACAUAUUGCAGCAAAUCAAGUUUAUCAUGAAAGAACAAAACAUAUCGAACUAGAUUGUCACGUGGUCAGAGAGAAAAUACAAGAGGGUAAGAUCAGAACUAUGCAUCUAAGUACUAAGGAUCAACUUGUAGACAUGUUAACUAAAUCUACUGGAGGAUUGAGGUUCAGAGCACUGUUAAGCAAGAUGGGAGUUCAUAAUCUUCACCUUCCAUCUUGAGGAGGCGUAUUGAAUAUAAUUUAGAUUCCUUUCUAUUGUAUAGCUACUGACAUGGCAGAUUUGUUAGCAUUUUAUUCUUUCUGUUUUCCCUGUACAGCUUUAAUUUUGUUAGUUAGUUAGAGCUACACCCUAUAUAUACACUUGUAAAGAUUGAUCAGAUUGUGAAGAGAAAAUUUACCAUCACAUAUUCUCUUGCUUCAGCAAUUCUGGUUUUUCAGAUUUUGUUAGUGUUCUUAGGUUGUUUGAUUGAUGGUGUUGAUUUGGGAUUUGGUGAACUGAGCCUGUAAAGCCUUGGUGGUUGAUGAUUGAAGACUCUACAGAAUUAUUAACUAAAAACGUAAUGAAAUAAACCAAACAUAUCUCCUGAUGCAUCAUCUUAGAAAAGACAAGGAAAAUUGAAAUAAGAUCUAUAGAUUUAAUUGAAGCCAAAGAUUAAUUAAGAAUAGAAGAAUACAUACUUUCUGUUGCUCUCACUUGCUACCAAAAAAAUAGUAGUAUUCGGAUAUCAAAUGCACAAGCAAAAGGUCGUAGAUUGAACAUUAGGAGAAUAGUGAUCUUCCAACAUGCAUCAAAUUUGAUGUGCUAUUAGAUAGCACCAGCAUACAAAUCUGAUUCUUAUAGUUGAACUUACCUGUUUCUCUUCUUCCAUCUUGGCCUUAAGAUGGAGUAGAUUGCAACUCCAGCUAUUGCAAUGGAAGUAUUGAUACCGGUUUGCAAUGAAAUUUUUUUUGCCUGCAAAGUCUACAUAGUCAUCCAAAUGAUGGAAUUAGAACUUACUGCACACACAUCACAUGAUAACGUUAAGCAAAGGUGGGUUUACCAAAGACUAAGAUUGAGAAGCCAAAUCACGAAAACAUGUUUCAACACAAUUCACACUGGAUGCGUAAGAGGUGACACUCUCUCUAGGGUAUUUGUUGUCGGCUGAAAAAAAAAAAAAAAAAAACUCAUCUUGGUUGGGGAAAACUAUCAAAUAACUAAAAACAGUUCUAUCAAUCAUUUUUUAGCAAUGGAUGAUACCUUAUGAAUAGUAACAAACUUUCCUCUCUAAUAUAAUGUAGGGAUAAUAAUCAUAAUAAAAUAAUGGGUUAUUUUUUAUAAGAGGAAAAAAUGAAAGUGAAUAAUUUUAACUUUACUGAAAAUUAACUGAAGUACACAACAUAUAAAAAAAAAUUCACAAGAGAAAAGGCUUUUACCAAUUAAUGCAUAACUUACCUGGCAAUGAUAACAUGUCAAUCUGGUGUUUGAAAAAUUUAGCCACGAAGAAGGUAGGAAGCACAAAAAAUUAUGACUAAGGUAUGCAUAGAAGUCUGUACAAAUUAGUAACAAAAUAAAAAGAGCAUACUGCAGCUGACAAACAAGGUGAAAAGAGAGCCAGGCUUGACUUCUGCUGUUAGCAUGUUGUUGGGAUGUGAUGCCUAAUGAUCUUUUUGGGCUGUGAUGACAAAAUGGGCUAAAGCCCAAAUUCUGUUUUAUUAAACUAAGGCUAUUACCCAAUAACGUGACUUGAUCCACCUGGCCCAAAAAGGUAGAAAGCGUGUUUUUUAGGCGAGGCAUUUUAAAUGCAGUCCAAAAACACGUCCUCUUAAUUAUUCUUGGGAGCCCUCCACCAUUGGAUGAAAUCUUGAACAAUGGUUAUCUAUCUGUGGGUAUAAAUUUGCCUCUUGGUUGCCCUAAUUUGGGUGGAAUCGUCACUUUCUUUUUCGUGAGCAGCCUGUGAGACUUCGAGACACUUCCAAACCCUUAUUCUUCUUUGUAAACUUCCAAUCUCUGAUUGAAACUGAUUUAUGAGUUAUUCUUCUCUGCUUUACUGAAAUACUAAGUUUAUUGAAGGGGUUGGUGUAUGAUUUUACCCUUGUGACUUCCUUUAAUCUGAUAGAGAAAAAGCCUUAGGCUUUGGGUGGAUCAUGUAAGUCAUACAGAUGGGUACAAACCUAAUUUUCUCUUAAGUCUGAGCCCAAAACAUGAAAGACCUUCAUCUUUGAUGCAUGUGGUCUGAGUUUCAUUGAUCGGCUGGAACAGAUUUUUUUCUGUAAUUUUGUACUAAUAAUUUUCUUGGUUGUUUUGUAUAUUUUUGGUUCAUUACUUUGUGUAACAGUGGUAUCAGAGCCUUCAACUGGCUCUUGUGGGUGAAUUGAACCACGUUCUUGCAAUAUUCAGCAAAUCUGGUAAAUUUCUUGGAACUUUCUUUGUGAUAAAUUUGGCUUUUCUUGGUGAAAACUACCUACGGUGAUUGGAUCUAUUCGAUCUUGGGUAUUGUGGACUCGUGCUUUGAUGAAAUUCGGGUGUGGUCAUGUGAAAUGACCACCACUAUAGGUUAAUUCUUCGAACCCUACUUUUACUGCUCGAUUUCUUGUUAUCUGCCUUUACUGAAUAAUUGUUCUUGCAUUUGGGCCUGUGUGAUUUGAGUUAAGCUGCCUAUACUUGUUCUGCUGGAGUAGUGCAAUGUACUUGUAUAAUGUUUUAUGAUUCUUGUUGUGUUGGAAUAUUAUAGUACAAUGGAUAACUGUUCUGUUCCUGUCUUGUAUUAAUACCUUCCUCAUUUCGUAUCAACAAAACCUCUACCCACCACCCAAGCCUUGACAUGAGAUCUUGAGUAUCACGAAAUCCUGGUAGGGCUGGAUAGUUGAUUUAUUUAUUUUUUUUAACUUUGUGUUGGAUAAUGUGUGUAUGUUAAGUUGUUCUUUCUAAACUUACAUAUACUUUUUCUGCCUUGCCUGUAAUAGCAAGAAUCUCUGCCUCUUAUUUGCCCUUAGUGAUCAAAUCAAUAUUGCUAAGUGUAACCUGUUUUGAUCAAUAAGAUGAUCACCACUAGUUUUGAACUUGGAGUCUUCAAUGGAAAGGGGGAUUUUCCUAUAUGGCAACAAAAAAUGAGAGGGAUUUUAGUGCAACAUAAAGUUUCUAAGGCUAUAACUGGAGAGUUUCUUGAAACAAUGACACAAGAAUAGAGAACUGAAUCAGAUGAUUUACCCCAUACCUCAAUUAUUCUCCACCUAUCUGACCAAGUGUUAAGAAAAGUAGGGAAAUAAGAAAUGAUCAAGCCCUAUGGGAGAAAUUAGAGAAGCUAUACUUAGUGAAGUCUUUACCUAAUAAGCUCUUCCUUCUAGAGAGGUUCUUUAGUUUUAAGAUUGAUCCAACCAAAGACUUGGAUGAUAAUCUUGAUACCUUUAAUAAAUUGGUACAAGAUAUCACCAAUGCUGGAGAUGUGAUUUCUGAAGAAUAUAAAGCAGUAAUACUUCUUAAUGCCAUACCGGAGGCAUAUAGGGAAGUCAAAUCUACCAUUAAGUAUGGCAGAGAUAUUUUAACUCCUGAGGUUGUUAUAAAUUCCAUAAGAAGUAAAUAAUUGGAACUUAAAACUGAAAGACAUGGGAAAGAAUCUGAGAGUUUGUUCAUGAGAGGAAGACAACCAAAUAGGCAAAAUAAUAACCAUCCAAAUCAAAAUCAUUCAGGGAACAGUAACAAAAAGAAAUUCAGGAGUAAAUCAAGAUCCAAAUCAAAAUCAAGAAAUAACAUUAAGUGCUAUGGUUGCAGCAAACUUGGUCAUUACAUAAAAGAUUGCUAUAACAAGAAAGUUGAAUUUAAAGAAAAGAAAGUAGAUGAGGGGAACGUAGUUGAGCCCGCUGAACCUAACACAUUUGAUGUUUAUGUGGUGGCUCAGCAACCUGAUCUGGAAGUACCAAAUUAUGCUCACAGGCGAUAUGUCCAUUAGUGGAUUUUGGACUCAGGUUGUACCUUUCAUAUUACACAUGAAAGUUCGUGGCUUCAAAAUUUUAAGAAGUUAGGAGGUGGUGAAGUGGUGAUGGGGAAUAAUAUUGCCUACAAAGUUGAAGGUUUAGAUAAUGUGACCCUAAAAUUUGAAAAUGGAUACAUAUAUACCCUAGAGAGAGUAAGGUAUGUACCUGAACUUAAAUGGAAUCUGAUCUCUAUGGGAGAAUUAGAUGACUUAGGGAUGUGUGGUAUUAUGAUUGGAGUCGGGUUGAUGAAAGUGAUCAAGGGAAGGGUGUAAAGAAAAAUGGAAUUUAUGUAGUUAAAGCUAAAACAGUACUUGAAAAUAAUGUUGUUAUAUCUAAUACUGAAUCUGAUUCUACCCUAAAAUGGCAUAAAAGGCUUGCACAUGUUGGUGAAAAAGGCCUCACAAUCCUAUAUAAAAUGGGGGCAUUUGGUAAGGACCAAAUAUCAAAAAUUUCCUUCUGUGAAAACUGUACUUUUGGUAAACAUCACAUACUCCACUUUGAUUUUGGAAAGCAUAAGACUACCUCCUCAUUGGAAUAUGUCCACUCUGAUUUGUGGGGUCCAGCCUCCACAACUACCCAAGGGGGAAAUAAGUAUUUCCUCUCAAUAAUAGAUGACUUUUCAAGAAAAGUGUGGCUGUGUCUUCUAAGACACAAAUCUGAAACCUUUGAAAAGUUUAAGAACUGGAAAGUCCUUAUUGAAAAUCAAAUGUCUACAAAGAUCAAAAUUGUGAAAACUGAUAAUGGAUUUGAAUUUUGCAACUUAGAAUUUGAUAAAUUUUGUGAACAAACUGGAAUCUUAUGACACAAAACUGUCCCAUAUACACCCCAGUAAAAUGGGGUGGCCAAGAAAAUGAAUAGGACAUUGUUGGAUAAGGUUAGAUGUAUGAUGGUGGGAUUUGGAGUUUCUAAGGUGUUGUGGGGGGGGGGGGGGGAGGCUGUUGUGACAGCCACAUAUAUAGUGAAUAGAACCCCUUCUAGUGCUUUAGAAGGAAAAACACCUGAAAAGAAGUGGUCUGGGAAAUUGACAGAUUAUUCCCACAUUAGAGUUUUUGGGUGUACAGCUUACUGUCACCAAAAUUUGUGGAAAUUGGAGCCAAGGGCUCAGAAAUGUGUGUUCUUAGGCUAUCCUAAAGGAAUUAAAGGUUAUAGGUUAUGGGCUAGAGGUCAUGGGGGAUAUAAAAUCAUGACAAGUAGAGAUGUUACCUUUAAUGAGGAUAAAAUGCCUUGUUUAGAAAAACAAAUGUCUACAAACCCUGAAAACCCAUAUGUGACCAGGUUUCAGGUGGAGUUGGGAUCUCAAAUUGAUUAUGUUCCUGAUAAUAUGAGAGAGAAUGAACUUACACUACCUCAGACUCAGACUGAAUUAGAAUAUUCAGGCGUGCAGGAAUAGGAACAAAUUGAAAUGGAUGAUCCCAGUCAACAAAGUGAUCUCAGUGACUAUCAAUUGACUAGGGAUAGGCCUAGAAAGAACAUAAGAGUACCUACAAGAUAUGAAGACUAUCUAUCCUAUUCUGUCAUGUCUUAUAAUGAUCUAGCCUAUAAGGAACCUAAGACCUAUAAUGAAGCUAUGAGUUGCAACCAGUCUGGUAAGUGGGAAGCUGCCAUGAGAGAAGAGAUGAGCUCUUUAAUGAAAAAUAAAACUUGGGAUCUUGAGCACAGACCCCAAAAUAAAUCCAUAAUUAAUUGUAAAUGGAUUUACAAAGUGAAAUAAGGCAGUUUAGAUCAUGAGCUUGUAAGAUUUAAAGCAAGAUUAGUUGUUAAAGGGUUUACACAAAAACAAGGUGUGAAUUACAAUGAGAUAUUUUCACCUGUUAUAAAAUACACAACUAUUAGAGUCCUACUUACAUUAUUUGCAUAUCACAAUUGGGAACUAGAACAAAUGAAUGUAAAAACAGCAUUCUUACAUGGUGAUUUAGAUGAGACAAUUUAUAUGUCACAACCUGAGGGUUUUGUAAAUAAAUCUAAAUCUGAUUUUGUGUGCUUACUUUAAAAAAUCCUUAUAUGGUUUAAAACAGUCACUAAGACAAUGGUAUAAAAUGUUUGAUAAUUUUGUCAUAACUGUUGAUUUUGUAAGAAGCUCUUAUGAUCAUUGCCUUUAUUUUAAGAAAAUUCUGAUUACUUAAUAUCCAUUUUUCUAUUACUUUAUGUUGACGACAUGCUAUUAAUUGGGCAUGAUUUAAAAUAGAUAAAUGAUAUUAAAGAAACUUUUGGAGCUGAGUUUGAAAUUAAAAAUCUGGGGCAUUCUAAAAGAAUACUGGGAAUGGAUAUACUUAGAAAAAGAUCGCAAUCCACCUUGAUCUUGAAACAAUCGGCUUACAUAGAAAAAGUCUUAUCUAAGUUUUCCAUGCAUGAAUCAAAAUCAGUGUCUUUAUCCUUAGCUAGUCAUUUCAAAUUAAGUAAAGAGCAAUGUCCAAUUAAUGAAUCUGAUAUAAAGUACAUGGAAAAGGUUCCAUAUGCUAAUGCAGUAGGGUCUAUAAUGUAUACCAUGGUCUGUACCAGACCUGAUGUGGCUCAUGCAAUCAGCACUUUAAGCAGGUUUAUGGCUAAUCCUGGUCCUGAACAUUGGGAAGCUCUUAAAUGGCUUCUUAGGUACUUAAAAGGUACAUCUAGCUUAAGAUUAGUGUUUAAAAACUGUAAUGAAGGAAUAAUGCUUAAAGACUUUGUGGAUGCUGAUUUUGUUGGCAAUAGGGACAAUAGAAAG